GACGAACGCUGGCGGCGUGCUUAACACAUGCAAGUCGAACGGAAAGGCCCUGCUUUUGUGGGGUGCUCGAGUGGCGAACGGGUGAGUAACACGUGAGUAACCUGCCCUUGACUUUGGGAUAACUUCAGGAAACUGGGGCUAAUACCGGAUAGGAUAUCCUGCUGCAUGGUGGGGGUUGGAAAGUUUCGGCGGUUGGGGAUGGACUCGCGGCUUAUCAGCUUGUUGGUGGGGUAGUGGCUUACCAAGGCUUUGACGGGUAGCCGGCCUGAGAGGGUGACCGGCCACAAUGGGACUGAGAGACGGCCCAGACGGCUACGGGAGGCAGCAGGGGGGAGUAUUGCACAAUGGGCGGGAGCCUGAUGCAGCAACGCCGCGUGCGGGAUGACGGCCUUCGGGUUGUAAACCGCUUUCGCCUGUGACGAAGCGUGAGUGACGGUAGUGGGUAAAGAAGCACCGGCUAACUACGUG
rnacentral:rRNA from 1 species